rnacentral:rRNA from 1 species
AAAUAGAUACCCGGGUAGUCCACGCCGUAAACGAUGAGUGCUAAGUGUUAGAGGGUUUCCGCCCUUUAGUGCUGAAGUUAACGCAUUAAGCACUCCGCCUGGGGAGUACGGCCGCAAGGCUGAAACUCAAAGGAAUUGACGGGGGCCCGCACAAGCGGUGGAGCAUGUGGUUUAAUUCGAAGCAACGCGAAGAACCUUACCAGGUCUUGACAUCCUCUGACAACCCUAGAGAUAGGGCUUCUCCUUCGGGAGCAGAGUGACAGGUGGUGCAUGGUUGUCGUCAGCUCGUGUCGUGAGAUGUUGGGUUAAGUCCCGCAACGAGCGCAACCCUUGAUCUUAGUUGCCAUCAUUCAGUUGGGCACUCUAAGGUGACUGCCGGUGACAAACCGGAGGAAGGUGGGGAUGACGUCAAAUCAUCAUGCCCCUUAUGACCUGGGCUACACACGUGCUACAAUGGACGGUACAAAGAGCUGCAAGACCGCGAGGUGAGCUAAUCUCAUAAAACCGUUCUCAGUUCGGA